GCCAGCCCACCCGAACUUCCCGUAAAAGAAAAAAAUUCCCUCGGCGGCCACCUUAUCCACUCCCCCCGCGUCCUCCCACGAUCCUCCCCGGCCAACCUCCUGCAGCCGCCUCCCUGGCUCCGGCGCGCCUCCCGCCGCUAGCCCCACGGCCCCGGCGUGCUUCCCGUCGUUGCUUCCUCGGCCCCGGUGCGCCCCCGCCGCCGCUCACCCUGGCCACGACGCGCUUCGCCACUGCUCCGCCCACCCUGGCCCCGAAGCGCCUCCAUCCGCCGACCCCCGACGCGCCUCCCGCCGCCGCCCUUCCGGCCCCGACGCGCCUCCUGCUACCUUCCUCCACCUGCUUCGACGACGGCGCCGGCCACCUCCACCUUCUUCCACCUGCAGCCACCGGCCUCCUACCACAGCAAGCGACCGCCGCGGCCAUCCUCCACCUGCUGCUGUAGCCUUCCUAUCCGACCGCCUCCACGACACGUUGGCCUUUGUCUACCUCUGGCUCCCCUGCUGCCCAAGGUCGUGUGCGCGAUGGCGGCCCAUGUCAUUUAUCGUCCUGGUUGCGUACACGCUGACGAGUGAUGCCUCGAUCCAGCUCCUCCAUCCUCCAGCCACGACAAGUCCAAAAGGAAUACAUUCAGUCUAGCAAGCCAAAUGGUUGACUACCAACCCAUGCAUGGAUUGGCCCCGACCUGCAGCUGGAGGAGGCCAUGACCUUCAGCUGUAGGAGACGUCAACCUACAGCUGGAGGAGGCACCGACCUUCAGCUGACAAUUUUGAGGAACUAGCUACUCAGAAAAUCUAACUUGACACCGUACUUGUUUUUGUUCUUCAGAAGUUCAGGCAACUAGGUUGCUCACUAGGAAAAGCCUGAACUACCAUGAACAAAAGCAAUUUCGUGGCUAAGGCCCAACAAAUGCAAAGCUUCGUCAUCUUCAUAAUAGAGAGCUUUGCUUACUUACUUGCUUGCUUCAUGCCUACAACAUGCAUGCACUUUCUGUGUAACCAAAGAAGUCAGAGACCUCGGAGGAGGCAUGUGGACUGUAAGGCAUGUACAUCGGUGAAAUAUGAAGCAUUUUUCAGGCUUCAAGUUUGAGAAGAAGAUGGCAUCAACGAGGAAUGGAGCCGAGGGAGGUUCACAGUUGCGAACAUCGCCAUCUCAACGCUUUUUGGAGCGCCCCUUGAGGAAUCUGUUGACGAUUUGGCCGGCAGCAGCAAUAUUUCUUGGCACGUGGGUGCUGGUUUUGGCGGGCAAGCAAGCAUCAACGAGCAGCUGCAGGCAAAAGCUACUAGCAGGUGAAAAAAUAAUUCUAGAUCAACAAUGUUUUACAUCACGACCUCACUUGUUCAUAAUUUGAUGGUAGGAUGUUAGAUUUAGUCGAUAGUUGAUGGUGUCAUGUCAUUCCUACUAUUGAAUGCACUCUGAAUUUGUAUGGUCAAUGCCAUGAAUUAUUGAAGCGGAUGGACAGGUUUGUAGAAUACUCAACCAGAUGUGUUAGUCUUCACACAGCAGCAGAGGUCGUUUUCAAACAGCAGCACCAAUGUACAUCUUCUACAAACAAAAAAAGGGAAAAUAUGCUAAUCUUGCUGCUUAUCUACUCUUAAUUUUGAACUGACAAAAAAUUAUUGAUCUGAACUGGCAGGUGUUGAUUGGCUCCUCUGACUCCCUUCGCGAUGCCACUCACCUCGCGUCGCUGGACCAACGCGGUCGCUGGCAGAAUUCUUUUGUUUAGUAUCCAGCGCAAGCAAUCUGAAUCCGCACGCGCAAGCCUUCUGUUGCCGAGUCAGCCCUCCUUCUGCUGACUGCUUCUGCAGUAGCAAGUCGCCGGUGGUGGUGAAGUUCUAUUACGGCUAUACGCUAAGUUCUACUACAGUUGUAUGUCCGCGACCAUGAAAAUUCUACUAUAGAUGCAUGCCAAGUUGUACUACAGUUAUACUCCUAUGUGGUUACAGGACAUGUGUGUGCGUGUGUGUGCGCUUGUAGGAUUGCUGGACGUGUGUUGGCCUACAGUUAUACUCCUUAUA